UCUUAUCAAGAGUGACGGAGGGAACAGACCCUUUGAAGUCCGGCAACCUGCCUGUGGGUAAGGUGCUAAAUUCUGCGGUGCAACCGAAAGAUGAG
rnacentral:ncRNA from 1 species